rnacentral:rRNA from 1 species
GAAUUCGAUUAACGCGAAGAACCUUACCUGGGCUAGACAACGGUGGACCGUCCUAGAAAUAGGAUUUUCCCUUCGGGGACUGCCGGUUCAGGUGCUGCAUGGCUGUCGUCAGCUCGUGCCGUGAGGUGUUGGGUUAAGUCCCGCAACGAGCGCAACCCUCGUCCUUAGUUGCCACCAUUAAGUUGGGCACUCUAGGGAGACUGCCGGCGUUAAGCCGGAGGAAGGUGGGGACGACGUCAAGUCAUCAUGGCCCUUAUGUCCAGGGCCACACACGUGCUACAAUGGGCGGUACAAAGGGUUGCAAACCCGCGAGGGGGAGCUAAUCCCAAAAAGCCGCUCUCAGUUCGGAUUGGAGUCUGCAACUCGACUCCAUGAAGUUGGAAUCGCUAGUAAUCGCGGAUCAGCACGCCGCGGUGAAUACGUUCCCGGGCCUUGUCACACCGAAUCACUA